AGACAUUGUUACUCUCUGAGGGAAUAUGUAUACCAAGAAAUUUGGACAAUUAUGAGAAUUUGACAAACAAAUUUCCAGAAAGAUUGACAGCUGCUAUUAACUAGUCUCUGCAGAAAUUAAAAGACAAUUAUCUUGGGGUAGCUUCAAACAAUAGAGUGUUUAUGUUUCUGGACGCGCCACAUGAAGAUGUGCCUAAAGGGUCUCGAAACUAGCGCGGUCGCUACAUCCCCCUUGGCAGCAAGAGCGUCUUCAUCAUCAACUGAACGCUGAACGUGAAAAUAGCAUAAUCGACGUCGAGUUCUAUCAAAGAGAACUUUGUGGUAAGAGCCCAUUUAAUUCUAUUCCAAAGACUAAAAUAUGCUCAAGGAUUCUCAAUUGAUUUUCGAUCUUUUGUUCUGAUAGGUUUUCUCUUGAAUUAUCAUUCAUUUUGUUUUAUUUACAAAAUAGCCUGCGAGCAAGUGAAUGCUGAGAAACAACAUCAGACGCUUGUAGCCCUAAAACAUUUAAUAUCAUAAGUAGAUUUGCACACACAAUGUAAUAUUUUGUUUUAGUUCAAGAACAGGUAUUUUAUGCUAAUACCAUUGAAGCGCAGGUAGAAACACAGCCAUUUUUGUAGCACAUGGAAAAUCCGCCUGUGAGAUCUCAAAUAGAAUUUAUGUUGGAAAAUAUUAUUGUUGAUCCUUGUGUGAAUUCUCAUAAACUAUUUGACAAAUUACUCAUCACUAAUUUGAGCUUGCCAAAGUGUUUUCAUUUAGCAUUUCUUAUUAUAGGCAAUGAAAAGUGCAGGCUACAACCAUGCAGCAACAUUAAGCUAUCAAAUUAACAUCUGAAAAUCCUGUGCAAAUCAAGCACUAUUUAGUUUAUGUAAAAUAAUUGAAUGCAUGGAUGGAGAUCUUUUGAAUAUUUUGAUAUAGCCCUGCAGCAAUAUAUACUGCAUUUAAGAUAUGUCUCGGAAGUAAAUUUAUUUCGUUAAACUAUCCACAGAAAAGUUGAAAAUUUCAUAGUGGCUUUCUUCAUGCCUCAUCAGUGUGUUUACACAAGCACUGAUUGCUUUGACUUGAAAAAUUAUUUACUGUACAGGCAAAAAAUGAUUUGGACUAAGGAGCGCAACAUAAUGUUGUGUAGAGAAGUGUUGGUGGUGGAACCAUACAAAUUUAAGUUGGGUUCUCGUGAGCGUGGUCAUUGUUGGGACACAGUGGCUAAAAAUUUAAAUGGUCUCGCCCAACCAUCCUUUAUGGUGGAUAAGAGACCACUUUCUCAAACUAAUUAGAGACUUUGAGAGGAAGAUGACAAAGGAGCAAAGGGCUAGUGGCAUUGCUACAUAAAUUUCUGAAUUAGAUGAGGCUGUAGAGACAAUAAUUGGGAGGAUGGAGGGAGCAGAAGAGGACAUUGUCCAGACUGAUAAGAAAAGAAGUAAGGAAGUUAAGAGAGAGAGAGAAGCUGCAGAGAAUAUCAGGAAAGGAGCAAUGAAGACUGUCGGAGAAAGCAGAGAAAGGGAUGUAUCUGAAGGUGGUAUUAAGAAAAAAACAAAGGAAAGUAAACUAGAAUGGAAAGCAAUGGGUUAUUUGAAAGGAAAGCAUGAUGAGGAGGUUGAUAAACAGAAACUGGAGUUAGAG